rnacentral:misc_RNA from 1 species
CGGGUGCUGUUCCUCUCGACAGGGCUCUACAUUCACGAGGCCUUACUUUUUCUUGAGGGAACUGGCUCUGCGACCGGUCCUGGCCUAUCGCACCUGGUGCCCACCUGGUUUUCCAGGUCCCGAGAAUAAGUUGCCCACCGGUUGCUACGGGCCCGCC